CCCUUAGAUGUUCUGGGCUGCACGCGCGCUACAAUGAUAUAGAGAAAAAGUAUGGUUCGGUUUUGGCAAAAACUGGUAAUCAGGAGUUGCUAUCGUAGCUGGAAUCGACAAUUGCAAUUAUUGGUCGUCAACGAGGAAUUCCUAGUAAGCGUAAGUCAUCAAGUUGCGCUGACUAUGUCCCUGCCCUUUGUACACACCGCCCGUCGCUCCUACCGAUUGAGUGUUCCGGUGAACUGAUUGGGUUGUAGAACGCUGUGUAUCUACGCAAAAUUUUGCAAGAAAUUCCGCGAACCUUNANACUUAUNGGAAGGAGAANUCGUANCA
rnacentral:rRNA from 1 species